UACGUAGGCAGCGAGCGUUGUUCGGGAUUACUGGGCGUAAAGAGUGUGUAGGCGGUGUUCCCAGUCUGUUGUGAAAUCUCCCGGCUUAACUGGGAGGGUGCAGCGGAAACUAGAAUGCUAGAGGGUGGGAGAGGUAAGCGGAAUUCCUGGUGUAGCGGUGAAAUGCGUAGAUAUCAGGAGGAACACCAAUGGCGAAGGCAGCUCGCUGGGACGUGACUGACGCUGAGACGCGAAAGCGUGGGGAGCAAACAGG
rnacentral:rRNA from 1 species